GGAUGGAUUCCUGCAUAGUCCCCAUGACUCAUCAGAAAUCUUUGCAUGGAGAUAAGUGACCCCCCUGCUGACCAGUUGUUCUAUAUUCUUCACCCUAGGGCCAGGGUGUUUCCUGAGCUCUGGGAAGUGGUAUCACAGAGUGCCCUGAAACUACACGGACCCAUUCCUGAGCAGAGUAUCAAUGAAAGACAUCUUCAGAGUGGUUUGAAGUGUUGGCUGCUGCCCACAGUUGGAUGCAGCAGGCAGUGCCUCCAGAUUCUGGCACUGCAGUCAAGAUGCGACAAGCAGCAGUAGAUGCAAACCCAGCUCCAGCAGUGCGUGACACACACAGAGAAGCGAGGAAGUACCCCUGCGGUAACAAUCAUGGGAAUGUUCCUGUUAUGCUGUAAAAGGCAUUGUAAUGAGAUCUGCCUGCAGAAUGAGCCACAUGACUCUAGAAUAGGACACUCCAUUUUGAUAACUUGGAGCAUAUCCAGAAAAGGACAGUACAAACAGCAAGAAAGUAUGACAGAAAAUCACUCCACAGGCAGGUGCAGAAAUCAGGACUGAAUGGGUUGUUUCAUCUGGACAGAGAUUUCAAGGGCUUGAGAGGCUGAUCCAGUGAUGACUGCAAUGGUCAAGUUCUCCAUAUCCAUUGCAGACAAAUUCCCUGCAGAGCUUGUGUGCUGACAAUCACCCAUGGCUGAUACUCAGACUCUCAUCUUCUUCCUCAGUAGGUUACUGCAAAGAAAAAGUAAAAAUCGACUUUGGUGCUGUCUUAGGAAGCUCAUGAAACCAGUGUUCAUUCAUUGACCCUUGAGGCUCACCUAUCAGUGCAUUUUCAGGGAGCCACAGAUGUAUUUCGUGGAUGGAGCAUGACACACAAGAUUCACAGCAUGGUAGGAGUUGGAAGAGACCUCUGGAGAUCCUCUAGUCCAAGUUCCCUGCUAAAAGUAGGGUCACCUAGCACAGGUUGUCCAGGGUUAU